CAGGCCCAGGGAAGGAUAAAGGGAAGCGGUUAUGCUUUCUGAACUUCGAACCUGCAUAGAGCUCUUCUGCAAGACAAGCUUUGCAAAUCCCACUUGACGGCAAUGUGGUGUAAGUUGAUGGUUUGUGAAGACAGAUUUUAGAAAAAGAAGCAUGGCAUUUUCUGGAAGAUAUAUAACGUUUUGAAGAGGAAGAGACUCUUCAGCAGAACUCCGACCAGCAUUUCUCCAAGCCUCUACCCACUGGUUGGCAAGAAUACCUUUAACUAAGUUUCCAGUCCAGCAUUUCUCCCAAGCUGCUGCCUGCUGGUGAGCAAGAACACCUUUAAGGUGGAAAUAUUGUAUAAUGACGUGCUACUCCACAUCUCUUCACCGCAUUCAAUGAUGUCACAUUGAGAGCUUGAAAUCAGCCAUGGUGAGAAUAUUUAUAUCACAGAAGUUGAUAACUGCUAUGAAUUUAUUUAUUGUUUUAUUGAUUGAUUAGACCAGAAAAUG